rnacentral:lncRNA from 1 species
AAAUGUCUCAACAGAUGAUGUUUGCACUGAUUGUUUGUCUCUCUGUAUCUUGUUCAGUGUGUCCAUCCAGAAGCUUCCUGAGAAGAGCUGCUACAUCAUCUAUGAGUUCUGGCAGGACCGUAUUUCCUGGAUGAGUUAUUUGCAGUCUGACGCCAGUAAGAUGUUCCAGCGCUGCAUCAUAGACAUGCAGGAGGAUCCAGAGAUCAUCUCCACGAUGCUCAUGCCAGCAUCCUGGUGGAUCAUGACAAACAACUAACAGCAGCAAGAAAACACCCUUCACCGCCCACCGCUGAACCCCGAUCUGAAACAUCACCCCAGUGUGUCUUUGAAUUAAUAACUAGACCUAAAAAAUCAGAUGAAUCAUCUGUACGUGUGACACACACACCGUUUUUGUGUUGCAUAUUAUUGAUAACAUCUGUCUGA